CACGAAAGCUUAGAAACAAACUAGGAUUAGAUACCCUACUAUGCUAAGCCAUAAAUAUUGAUAGAUAAAUUACAAUACUUUCCGCCAGAGAACUACAAGUGAAAAACUUGAAACUCAAAGGACUUGGCGGUGUCCCACAUUCAGCCUAGAGGAGCCUGUCCUAUAAUCGAUACCCCACGUUUUACCUCACCCUCACUAGCACUAACUCAGCCUAUAUACCGCCGUCGACAGCUUACCCCAUGAGGGAAAAAUAGUAAGCAAAAUAGCCCCCCGCUAAUACGUCAGGUCAAGGUGUAGCUUAUGUGACGGAAGAGAUUGGCUACAUUUUUUAUAUUAAAAAACACGGAAUGCUACAUGAAAAAUAACAUGAAGGCGAAUUUAGUAGUAAGACAGACAAGAGAACCUGUCUUAAUAAUGCUCUGGGACGCGCACACACCGCCCGUCACCCUCCUCAACCAACCAACAAUCAAUCCAUAAUACAUGCUUUUAACCAAAGAUGAGGCAAGUCGUAACACGGUAAG
rnacentral:rRNA from 1 species